rnacentral:rRNA from 1 species
AUUGAACGCUGGCGGCAGGCUUAACACAUGCAAGUCGAGCGGAGAGAGGUAGCUUGCUACUGAUCUUAGCGGCGGACGGGUGAGUAAUGCUUAGGAAUCUGCCUAUUAGUGGGGGACAACAUUUCGAAAGGAAUGCUAAUACCGCAUACGUCCUACGGGAGAAAGCAGGGGAUCUUCGGACCUUGCGCUAAUCGAUGAGCCUAAGUCGGAUUAGCUAGUUGGUGGGGUAAAGGCCUACCAAGGCGACGAUCUGUAGCGGGUCUGAGGGGAUGAUCCGCCACACUGGGACUGAGACACGGCCCAGACUCCUACGGGAGGCAGCAGUGGGGAAUAUUGGACAAUGGGCGCAAGCCUGAUCCAGCCAUGCCGCGUGUGUGAAGAAGGCCUUAUGGUUGUAAAGCACUUUAAGCGAGGAGGAGGCUACUUUAGUUAAUACCUAGAGAUAGUGGACGUUACUCGCAGAAUAAGCACCGGCUAACUCUGUGCCAGCCGCCGCGGUAAGAC